CUUUAUUGAACUACCGAUUUGGUGGUAUCCCAUGAUUUGCUUAUUUUUUUCAAUUAUGUCCUUUUUUAAUAUUAUAUAAUCCUAUUUUAUCCUUUACCUUAUAUUAUUUAACUCCACCUCCUCCCCCUUUCCCCCACUCCAUCCCGUCCAAAAAAAUUAUUGUUUAAAUUUAUUUUUAAAUAAAUUGAAACUUUUUUCUAAUCAUACCCCCUACUCUGACUCCGGCCC
rnacentral:lncRNA from 1 species